UACGAAGGGGGCUAGCGUUGCUCGGAAUUACUGGGCGUAAAGGGUGCGUAGGCGGGUCUUUUAAGUCAGGGGUGAAAUCCUGGAGCUCAACUCCAGAACUGCCUUUGAUACUGAAGAUCUUGAGUCCGGGAGAGGUGAGUGGAACUGCGAGUGUAGAGGUGAAAUUCGUAGAUAUUCGCAAGAACACCAGUGGCGAAGGCGGCUCACUGGCCCGGUACUGACGCUGAGGCACGAAAGCGUGGGGAGCAAACAGG
rnacentral:rRNA from 1 species